AAAUUUUACAUAGAAAACCGAAAACGACAUAUAAUUUGGAACAAAAAAGUUUCUCUAAAACGACUUAUAUUAAAAAACGGAGGGAGUACUAAAUAGUUACAGUUUUUAAAAAAUAAUUAAUAAGAGCUGAUAAAACAGUACCUCUAACUCUCGUAUUAGUGUGAUACGUUAGGCAUGAAAGUCUUCUGAAUACAAUUGAUAGUUACGACUUACGGUAUGGAGCCGUACGUUGUGGUCGAGAACGAAUUCAAACAUCUUAAUGGCUAUUAACUAGUAGAGCAACGACAGAUUUAAACGUUUUUUUUUUCCUUAAAACAUGUCUAGACAUUGGCAUGAAUUACCAUUUACUAAUUUGACUCAUGAAUCUAAUUCAAAGAUAUUGUCUAGACGUUGGGAGGAGUCUACAUUUGAAAAAAAAGAAUUAAUUUAACGUGGUUUAAAAAAAAGUUUCGUUUUCAAAGAAUGUAACAGGUCUACUAGAAUCUCCUAGUCAUUCAACUGGAAAUCUUUUAGCAUGUAACAAGAUAAUCGUGCAUUCUUUUCAUUUAGUCUACACCAAUUUUGCUAGAGGAUGUAUAGACAAAUCCUUGUUCUUUUCCUGUCCAAGGUUUGUACCCCAUUUGAUGAGAUAACUGGUCAAAUGGCCUAGAUUGAGAAUGUUCGAGAUGAAUCAUCUCAGAUGAUAAAAGCAAGUUGCCAAUAAAUGACAUGAUUAUGUUAUUCUAUAGUUCAAAACAAAAAUUGCAUCAUAUAAAGACAUGGGAUGGGACAACAAAACAGGUUCCCAUCUUUAUCUCGACAAAUUUUCGUGGAACAAAAAUUAAAACUAAAAAAUUAAAAAUAAAAAAACAGUUUCAAAAAGUAUUUUUGAAUUAUAAAAAGAAAAUUUAAAAAAAAAACUAAAAAAAGUUUCGAAAAAAAAAUUCAAAAAAAAAAUUAUAAAAAAUUUCGAAUCUGAAAACAUAUAAUCUGAAAUUAUAAAAAAUU